UACGGAGGGGGCUAGCGUUGUUCGGAAUUACUGGGCGUAAAGCGCACGUAGGCGGCUUUGUAAGUUAGAGGUGAAAGCCCAGGGCUUAACCCUGGAAUUGCCUUUAAGACUGCAUCGCUAGAAUCGUGGAGAGGUGAGUGGAAUUCCGAGUGUAGAGGUGAAAUUCGUAGAUAUUCGGAAGAACACCAGUGGCGAAGGUGACUCACUGGACACGUAUUGACGCUGAGGUGCGAAAGCGUGGGGAGCAAACAGG
rnacentral:rRNA from 1 species